UGCUGAGGCAACAACAGGGGCAAAAAUAGCCAGGGACUGGCUUCAUGAAGGUUCUACUUUAGUAGGAAAAGACAGGCAAUACAACAACAGGAGUAGAGAGAGCACAGACGACAAUGUGGAAGAUUUUUUUCAAACCAGUACUCAAAACAGACCACACUACUCUCACCCACAUACCAUUGACUGGGGCAUCAUCAUAAAGCCACCCACACCUCACUGCAAACAAGGCUUGAAAUGUGGUCCAGCAGGGUGCCCAGGAGGAUGAGGAGGAGGAGGAGGAAUGAGACAAAUGCUAUGAAGGAAAUAAAGGAGGUAUCAAGACUGGGAGUACUAAUUCAUAUUGGGAUAACUAAUUCAUAUUGAGUGGCCGGGUCAAGACUGUUUGAGGACGUGGGAUUUGGGCUGAGAUCUGAAGAGGAAUUACACAGCUAUUCAAAUUUUGGGGGGAAGAGUGUUCUAGAAUCAAAGGAAAACAAGGACAAAUCUCAGAAUUGGGACUUUGCUAUGGUUUAAAUGUAUCCCUCAGAAGCCCCUAUGUUGGGAAGUUGAUGCUACUGUGAUAGUGGUAGCCCUCAUGAAUAGACUAAUGUUGCUAUCAUGGGAGUGAGUGAGUUGCUGUAAAAGUUUGGCCCCUGUUUUUCUCCGUCUUGCCUCCUCUCUCCCUUCUGCCUUCUGCCUUCUGCCUUGGAAUAACCCUCACCAGAUCCUCCUAGCUCAAUGCCCUUGGACUUCCCAGCCUCCAGAACUGUAAGAAAUAAACUUCUUUUCUUUGUAAA